CGAGGAUGACCAGGACCAGGCGCCAGAUGAUGCACCCCUACGCACAAAUAAUCUUGACUGAGGGAGCCGAAGAAGCCAGAGAGACAUUCACAUUGGCCGUUGACAUGGUGGCACGCCCCGUCGCUAUGGAUACACUGAGGGCACGACUGGCUGCAACGAUGUCCGUAGAAACCAGGGGAACAGGCUGCAGGAAAACACACACACCACUGUUACAAAGAUGUCUAUGUAUGUGCGUGAGAGAAAAGUAAAUUCCAGAGUGUAAAGAGAACUUCUGAUUAGUUCGCUGAUUAGUUCUUUGAUCAUUUUAAUAUAGAUUUCAUGGUCCACCUAGUCUCAAUUUAAACUAAACCCCACAUGUGAAAGCUUAUUACUGUCCACCAUAUCUGUAUAAUAUUUGUGUGUGUGUGUGUGUGUGAAAACGUGGCUGCUGUCUCCUCUCCGCUGUCAACCUGUUGGCAGAGUUAGCUUUUCUUUGUUUUCACUUCCGCCGUGUAUCCUCCUGAGGCCUUUCAUUUGUUUUAAUUGAUGUUACUCUAAGUGGUGAGCCAAGCCGGUGCAGGCUGGUCCACCGCCUCCCUCACACUACAGGAUUUUCCUAAUUAAGAUAAUUGCCUAAACUGUGAACCCAGAGCCCUUAAAUGUAUCACUCUGAUGCAGAGAGAGGCUGAUGAAAAACUGGUGUGUGUUGUGUACUAUCAGCAGAACAGCUCACUGCAAGCAACAUCAACAGGUAGGCUCUAUUUUAAGCAGAUUCUACAAUCGUUGAUUUAUGGUCCCCGAAUUCUUCAGAUUUAACAUAAACCCUUUUUAGACCUGAUGACGCAUUCGUUUCUCACUAGGCUCUUGCUGGUUAAUGAAAAAACACGGUGACUUAUCUGAAAACAAAGAAUUUCUACUGCAUUAUCCACCCAUACAAUAUUCUAAAUAACAUGGAGAUGGGAAAUAUGCUAGAAGAUUGCAGGAUGUUUUGCUUGUUAUACCAUGGGUUUUGUUAAAACAAAAUGCAGCUAGUAGCAAACCAUAGCAUUGUUGAGUCUUUCUGAGGAGCACAUGAAUGCACCAUUGUCCUUUUUUGUCAAUUUUUAUUUAAUUUGUGAUAAAUGCAGUCGAUCUAAAUGCAAAAAUGAAAUAAUAGUUUUCUUUAUGAGUAUAGUUAGGUCAAGGACAUGACCAACCUAAAUGUUUUCUAUUCAAUCUUUGCUAAUAAAAAAGAAUGAAAAGAGAUAAA